AAUGUCCCUCUUCACGACACCAACCGGUCCCUGGGUUUUUUAGGGUAAACUGAGGAGCAGUGUGUUAAUAGAACCUCAAACCAAUCGCCUCAGCCUGUGCCUCACACUGCUGGCAUCCCUUUGCUGGAGCUAAAAGGCACCAAAAACCUUCCUUUACCUGCUUGGCUCCGCAUCUCCUCUGCUUUUACGGCUCCUUCAACCUCGCUCAGCGUGCAGGAGCACAAACACUUGGUGUCCCUCUCCGAUCUCAAAGAUGAGGGCUCUUACUAAAGGCAAAAAAAAGGUGUCUGGCUAGAUAGAGCAACAGGUUUCAUGACUGGAAUAUAAGCACUUUGUGUAUGUGUCAAAGACGCGUCGGAGAGCUUUGCGAUCCAUCGCUUGCAUGCAUGGCCGCCUCCCCUCGCUUCUGUUGAUCCGUUUUGAACUUUAUGCUGGAGUUGUGUACAGCCGCUGUGUAUCGUCUGACGGCAAAGCUAUUUUGGAUGUACACAACAUUUUCUUAUGCAUGUGUGUAUGAUUUAAGGGUAUGUUUGUUCUAUGACUGUACAGGGUGUUAAGCAUAUAUACAUAUUUAAUAUUACAUUACUGCAACAACAGUGACUACACAAUGUUUUGGGGUACUUAAACAAAUUGUAAAUCAAGUGCUGUGCCUCAGUGAUUGUGAAUGUACAUUGUACUUUUUCAAAGGAGACGAGCAAAGUUGUAGAAAGCAAGCUAUUCCUCAAAACAGGAGCACAAAUAAAUGCUUGGCAAUAAUGAACUAGUAUUGUACAUUACAAAGGAAUGGUCAGAACAUUUGUCUAUUUUUGUAUGCAUGCCGUCUACCUAAUUGUUUGUAAAACAGUUUUGUAUUUCUGUAUUUUUUCGGCCAGGAGAAUACUGGUGUUUCCCUCCACCCCGUUGUGUUUUUGAGACUUGAAAAGAAGAAGGAUUUUUUUGUUAAGAGGAAUAACUGUAUUUAUUAAGUGUUUAAUGUACAAGCAUGCUUUGUAUAACUAAAAUACAGUACCAUGCUGUUGGCAAUUGACUAACAUUGCACAAGUGUGCCAUAUUGUAGCUACAUUACUUUUUUAUUGAAUAAAGUAUGGCAAAGGCACACUGAAGAAAGAAGCAUUGUUAUGUUUUGUCUCGUCUCAUAAUCACAUUUAGAUGACUCUUUUUAGACAAAGAUUGACUCAAAGCAUGUAGGAUAUGAUGAAUGAGGAUUUAAAAAGAAUAACACAGAA
ensembl:lncRNA